rnacentral:lncRNA from 10 species
ACAGACAAAGCAAACAACAAGUUGAGGUAAUAUUGAAGGGACACUUGGAGGUUGUGGGGUGGGGAAGAGGACAUCACUUUGUUGCCUGAGUUGCCUAGAUCAACAUUUUUUCUGUUACUAAAGAAAAAAAAAUCGAAGAAAAAUUACAGGAAAAAAAGUCUUCUCACUUAUUACCAAACAGUUAUUUAAAGAAAUCUUAAUUUUUUUUAAUGUUCUACACACAUUCAUUGUGGCUUUACUACGCACCAGAGACUAUAUUAGGUACUCAGAACAUAAAAAUAGAUAAAGCCAAGUUCACAGACUAAUAGAAGAAAGAAACAGAGGCACAGAUCACCAUAAUAAUACAAGAUGACUGAUUAUGAUAGAGAUAUGUCAUUGGGAAUUAUAAGCUCAGAGAAGAGGCAUUUUUAGUUUGCCUCUGGCAAACUUUUUUACUCAAGUCAGCCUGUCUGCCUAAUUUUUUAUUCUUACAAUAGUCUUUAC